rnacentral:rRNA from 1 species
CCUACGGGUGGCAGCAGUGAGGAAUAUUGGUCAAUGGGAGAGAUCCUGAACCAGCCAAGCCGCGUGAGGGAAGACGGCCCUAUGGGUUGUAAACCUCUUUUGUCGGAGAACAAAACCCGGGACGAGUCCCGGACUGCGUGUAUCCGAAGAAAAAGCAUCGGCGAACUCCGUGCCAGCAGCCGCGGUAAUACGGGGGAUGCGAGCGUUAUCCGGAUUUAUUGGGUUUAAAGGGUGCGUAGGCGGUCUGUUAAGUCAGCGGUAAAAUUGCGGGGCUCAACCCCGUCGAGCCGUUGAAACUGGCAGACUUGAGUUGGCGAGAGGUACGCGGAAUGCGCGGUGUAGCGGUGAAAUGCAUAGAUAUAGCGCAGAACUCCGAUUGCGAAGGCAGCGUACCGGCGCGCAACUGACGCUCAUGCGCGAAAGCGUGGGUAUCGAACAGGAUUAGAUACCCUUGUAGUC